GCCUUCGUGGUGUAACGGUAGCACACUCAACGCAUAUUCGAGAGGUCCAGGUUCGAGUCCUGGCGAGGGCA
rnacentral:tRNA from 1 species